rnacentral:rRNA from 1 species
GACGAACGCUGGCGGCGUGCCUAAUACAUGCAAGUAGAACGCAGUUGCGAACGGGUGAGUAACGCGUAGGUAACUGCCUGGUAGCGGGGGAUAACUAUUGGAAACGAUAGCUAAUACCGCAUACUACCAGAUGGACCUGCGUUGUAUUAGCUAGUUGGGGAGGGAACGGCUCGCCCAGGCAACGAUACCUAGCCGAAUUGGGAGGGUGAUCGGUCAAACUGGGACUGUGAGACGUCCCGGACUCCUGCUGUAGGCAGCCGUAGGGAAGCUUCGGCAAUGGGGGAAAACCAGACCGAGCCACGACGCGUGAGUGAAGAAGGUUUUCGAAUCGUAAAGAGCUGUUGUGUAGGAAGCGGUACUUGACCAGAAAGGGACGGCUAACUACGUGCCAGCAGCCGCGGUAAUAC